rnacentral:rRNA from 1 species
UACGUAGGGGGCGAGCGUUGUCCGGAUUUACUGGGCGUAAAGAGCGCGUAGGCGGAGAUCUAAGCGUGGCCUGAAAGCCCCCGGCUCAACCGGGGAGUGCGGCUGCGAACUGGGUUUCUUGAGGACGAUAGAGGAGAGUGGAAUUCCUGGUGUAGCGGUGAAAUGCGUAGAUAUCAGGAGGAAUACCGGUGGCGAAAGCGACUCUCUGGACGGCAACUGACGCUGAGGCACGAAAGCGUGGGGAGCAAACAGG